CAGUGUGUGUGAAUAUGCCGGAUGCCCAGGAGGGUCCCGGCGCCAUCUAGCGGGGAGGUGGGCUGCGGAGGGGCCCGCCGGGGUCGAGGGCCAAUAAAGUCGGUGAAAAUCGUGUGGUCGAGAGAGCUGUGUCGUCGCGGGGCCUGCCGCCGGGGAGCUCGGGAGCAGAGUCACAGGAGUCCGUCCAUUGAACCCUGCUACUUGAAAGCUAAAGGAAAACGUGUGACACGGAGAAGAGGGCUUGCUGAGCAGUGGAAGUAGACAGACAUCUCAAAGCAAAUAUUGCAGUGUCUGAGCACCAUGCAAGAGAGCUGCUGUCCAUGGGUAUUUCAGUUCCACAUAUAUGUACUUGAAAUAUCCGAGUCCUCUAACAUUCCCUUGUUUUCAUGUUCAUCAAGGGACUUUUCAUCUUGAUUUUAUCUUUUUGUGUGUCUUCAUAUAGAGUAACAAUAUUUUAGUUUAACAUGGUAAUCCAUAUAUUUCUAAUAAUUUUAAAUUUACAUACUUAUAUAUACUACUUAUAUAUUUAAAUGUAUAUAUUAAAUAAAUGUGGUGGCCUUACUUUCCUCCCUUCCUCCAAUAUCCAGCUUCUCACUUGCCCAGUCCAAAUAAAAAUCGACGUUAUCCUGAUUUGAACUUGUCAUAUAAUUUAAAAAAAUUGUCAUAAAAAACAUUCAACCCAAUAAAAAUGUAGACAUUUAUGUAUGUUUACUAA